rnacentral:lncRNA from 1 species
AGAUACUUCCUGGACAACUGCUAUAAAAACAACAACAAAUACUUUUAUUAAUUCGGGGAGCCUGGUCACCAACUGGAUGCUCAGAUGGAACCCUGAGCAGCCCAUGUACAUGGAAGAUCUUUAUUGCAGAGAUCUUCAAACCAGGAUCUUCUAAGGGUGUGAGGAUACAGGCGUCAAAGACCCCGUGCUGAGACAGCUCCAUAACAACAUGCAGAUAUUUGGCAAUGAGGGUUCAGAAGAGGACUUGCUGUGGAGAAGAGAGAAAAGAGAUGGGAAGACUCUGUGAAUGAAUAGAGAACACUCUGCAAGCAUCCCAGUUCCUUUGGUUGCCCUGCAGUCUGCAGGUACCAGGAGAAAUCAAAAGCCGCCUGGAAGGGCUUUCUGUCUGUAUGGAGUCAAGGCAGUGUCUUCAAAUCUGUGCUUUCUAAAACAAAGAAAUAACCUUGAUGAAACAAAUUUUCCCCAGAGGAAGGGGAGAGCCCACAGUGAGCUGGUAAAGAAGAUGCCUGGAGCAGGCAGCAUCCUCAAAUGGAAGAGAUGGUGUCUUGCUAUGUUGCCCAAGCUGGUCUUAAAUUCCUGGCAUCAAGUGAUCCUCCUGCCUCAGCCUCCCAAAGUACUGGGAUUACAGGUAUGAGCCAACGUGCUCAGUUCUUCAAGCAGAACUUUCUGACUUCCCUUUUUUUCCUGAAAGCAUAUAAAACUCCCAUGUAAAAGAUGCCCUCUCUGUACCAGGAGGAAAGAAAUAUCUUUAUCACCAGAGACAGAGACAAUUCUCUGUAAACAACCGAAUUUUGUUAAAACAACUCUUAUCUUUCUUUAGCUUUCCUGUAUAUUUUAAUUACUUUUUCACAAUUGCCUCACUUUGUCCAACAUAGUAGGAAAGCAUUGAGAUUUUGCAACUUCUUUGGGCCGUCGUUUCUUUAUAAAGUCUCUCAACUCACAUAAAACUUAAAAUUAAGUAAAUCUGUAUGUUCCUCUCCUGCUAGUCUGUUUUGUGUCAAUCUAAUUCUCAGGCCCUGCUGGGGUUCCUAUGAAGGUAGAGGUAAAGCUUUGUCUGCCCUACACCAUCCAACAUAGUAUCACUAAUUCUAUUUCAACCAGCAGUGUCUGACAUUACUUCUUUCCCACACCCUUCCCAACACUGAUAUUAUCACAUUUUAAAAACUUUGCUAAUCAGAUAGGUUAAAAAGUGGCAUCUCUUUUUUUAACCCAAAUUUGCCUAAUUACUGAUGACACUGAGGAUUUUUUGUAUUUUUCUUGGCCAUUCAACUUUCCUCCUGCCUGUUCAUGUUAUUUUCUCUUGGUCAUUUGUCUUUUGCUUAUGAAAUUCUCAUUUUUCUUAAUGUAUAUCACUAUACUAACUCUUUGAUACAUGGGCUGUAGAUAUCUUCUAAUAGACUAUUAUUCAUCUUUAUGUGAAUGUUUAUCAUACAGAGGUUUUAAAUUUCAAUGUGGUUACCUGCGCCCUGGAUCUGUUCUCUUCUCACUUCCUCAAGGACUUUUUUACUCCGUGGAUAAUGCCCCUACCCUUCCAGCUUCAACCUCACCCUAAGGAAUCCUUGCAAUUGUUGAGAAACAUACUCUAGUAUGUCCCACGUUUUACAACUUCUUCUUGACCCGUCUCUUUCUCCAAUUGCUGGCCUCUUUUUGCUUUGUUUCAUAGCAACAUUUCUCAAAAGACAGUUUUUUUCAUUCCCUCCACUUCCUCACCACCCCUCCC